rnacentral:rRNA from 1 species
AGUGAACGCUGGCGGCAGGCCUAAUACAUGCAAGUCGAACGGCAGCACAGCAGAGCUUGCUCUGUGGGUGGCGAGUGGCGGACGGGUGAGGAAUACAUGGGAAUCUGCCCAGUCGUGGGGAUAACGUAGGGAAACUUACGCUAAUACCGCAUGCGCCCUUCGGGGGAAAGCCGGGGACCUUCGGGCCUGGCGCGAUUGGAUGAGCCCAUGUCGGAUUAGCUAGUUGGCGGGUAAUGGCCCACCAAGGCGACGAUCCGUAGCUGGUCUGAGAGGAUGAUCAGCCACACUGGAACUGAGACACGGUCCAGACUCCUACGGGAGGCAGCAGUAGGGAAUAUUGGACAAUGGGCGCAAGCCUGAUCCAGCCAUGCCGCGUGAGUGAAGAAGGCCCUCGGGUUGUAAAGCUCUUUUGUCCGGAAAGAAAAGCGCCGGGUUAAUACCCUAGUGUCCUGACGGUACCGAAGAAUAAGCAACCGGCUAACUCGUGCCAGCAGCCGCGGUAA